rnacentral:rRNA from 1 species
UACGUAGGGUGCGAGCGUUAAUCGGAAUUACUGGGCGUAAAGCGUGCGUAGGCGGUUCCUCAAGUCCGUUGUGAAAGCCCCGGGCUCAACCUGGGAAUGGCAGUGGAAACUAGGGGACUGGAAUCUGGCAGAGGGGGAUGGAAUUCCGCGUGUAGCAGUGGAAUGCGUAGAUAUGCGGAGGAACACCGAUGGCGAAGGCAAUCCCCUGGACCUGUACUGACGCUCAUGCACGAAAGCGUGGGGAGCAAACAGG